UACGGAGGGUGCAAGCGUUGUUCGGAUUUACUGGGCGUAAAGCGCGCGCAGGUGGGUGAACAAGUCGGAAGUGAAAUCUUGAGGCUCAACCUCGAGGCUGCUCCCGAAACUGUUCGCCUAGGGACUGGUAGAGGCUGGUAGAAUUCCCGGUGUAGCGGUGGGAUGCGUAGAGAUCGGGAAGAACACCAAUGGCGAAGGCAGCUCGCUGGGACGUUACGUGACGCUGAGACGCGAAAGCGUGGGGAGCAAACAGGG
rnacentral:rRNA from 1 species